rnacentral:rRNA from 1 species
UACGGAGGGUGCAAGCGUUAAUCGGAAUUACUGGGCGUAAAGCGCACGCAGGUGGCUGAGUCAGUCGAUUGUGAAAGCCCUGGCUUAACCUGGGAAUUGCAGUCGAUACUACUCAGCUAGAGUAUGGGAGAGGGUAGUGGAAUUCCCGGUGUAGCGGUGAAAUGCGUAGAUAUCUGAAGGAACAUCAGUGGCGAAGGCGGACUUC